rnacentral:rRNA from 1 species
GACGAACGCUGGCGGCGUGCCUAAUACAUGCAAGUAGAACGCUGAAGGAGGAGCUUGCUUCUCUGGAUGAGUUGCGAACGGGUGAGUAACGCGUAGGUAACCUGCCUGGUAGCGGGGGAUAACUAUUGGAAACGAUAGCUAAUACCGCAUAAUAGCAGUUGUUGCAUGACAACUGUUUGAAAGGUGCAAUUGCACCACUACCAGAUGGACCUGCGUUGUAUUAGCUAGUUGGUGGGGUAACGGCUCACCAAGGCGACGAUACAUAGCCGAACUGAGAUGGUGAUCGGCCACACUGGGACUGAGACACGGCCCAGACUCCUACGGGAGGCAGCAGUAGGGAAUCGUCGGCAAUGGACGGAAGUCUGACCGAGCAACGCCGCGUGAGGGAAGAAGGUUUUCGGAUCGUAAAGCUCUGUUGUAAGAGAAGAACGAGUGUGAGAGUGGAAAGUUCACACUGUGACGGUAUCUUACCAGAAAGGGACGGCUAACUACGUG